UACGGAGGGUGCAAGCGUUAAUCGGAAUUACUGGGCGUAAAGCGCACGCAGGUGGCUGAGUCAGUCGAUUGUGAAAGCCCUGGGCUUAACCUGGGAAUUGCAGUCGAUACUACUCGGCUAGAGUAUGGGAGAGGGCAGUGGAAUUCCCGGUGUAGCGGUGAAAUGCGUAGAUAUCGGGAGGAACAUCAGUGGCGAAGGCGGCUGCCUGGCCCAAUACUGACGCUAAAGCGCGAAAGCUAGGGGAGCAAACGGG
rnacentral:rRNA from 1 species